rnacentral:lncRNA from 1 species
AAAUCAUAUGCUAGAAUUCUACUGGAUUCCAAUUUGUUCAUUCAAAAAUAACAUAAAUUGCUGGCAAAAGUCAGUAGAAGAUAUUAUAUUUAUAUUUACAUGGAUUAAGCUGCCAGGAGUGCUAUCAGAAAAUUUAAAUUAACAUGGAAUGGGAUGAAAUUUCCCCAAGUCAAAGAUACCAACAGAGAGGCAAAGAGAGGUGGUCAGUGGUUAAAGACAGAUGAGCAAUUAAGGUACUUUCUUCUUAAUAAUGGAAUGCAUUAACAUUUAAAAUUCACUAAUUCUAUUGAUCUUCUAAGGGAAAAAAUUGUUUAAGUUGUUCCUAAAUCUAUCUCUGACUUGUAGGCCCGUGAGAAGCAAAACCACAGCAGGAAGGUAACCUGACUGGGUGACUUCAGUCCUUUAAAUACGUAAACUCUAAUUUAUCCAAGAAGAAUUUGUCCUAAGCAUUUAUAAUUAUAUGCAUUCUUUUCACCAAAACAGUCCAUUGUAACAGAAAAAAUAAAAUUACAUAUCCAAGGCAUGCCAAAAAAAUACACAUUUCUAAGCUAAGUGUCUGCCUUAAUAAAAUAUUAUGGUAAUAUUCCCAUACCAACAAUCAUAGCCCUACAAUUAUUAUGUUAUGUUGUUCAAUAUUUUAAUGGCUGCACAAUAUUUUCCUUUUUCUAUUAAAUAUAAUAAGGUUUGGCACUUACUAUGAACUUCCUUCCUGAAGUUCAUGCUGUCUAAAUGUAAAGCAAUAUUGAUAUAAUCAUUACUUUAUCACACAUACUUUUGGUGUCAUAAUAACUCCUUGGAUAAUUUUGGAUCAGUAUCAUCAUGCUGACUACUAAUUUACAAGAAAAAUGUUCUAUUAACUACUUAUUGUAUUGAAGAUAGCCUUUAUUUUGUCAAGAAGUAUUUGUUAUUGUUAUAGAGAGUUUUGUGUCAAGAUUAUUCACAUCUAUCCAGAGCAGUAUUAGAAAUACCAGCAGAAGUUUCCUGUAGGACAAUAAUACCAGCAUACAGUGGGUGUAUCGGUAAGAAAAGUUCUCUUUCAACUAUUCAUUCUGUAUGAUAAAUGAUCGUUUUUUGGCAUCAAACUUGAUUUUUCCUAGGAGAAUUGCUUCUCUUACCCUGAACCUUCUAAUCUUGGCUGGGCUUUGAAGCAGGUGCCUUACCCUCUUCAAACCAUACCUGGGCACAUGACUUGAAUUCUGAAAGAAGUAGCUUAAUUUCUGAAAAUUAGAGUGAACAGCAGCAUUCUGAAAAAAGUGAUUAUUCCAAGUCCCUAAACCAGCAAUCUUCAGAGCUGUCCCAGCUCCCUUCCUUUCUGAGGCUGGCUUUGGCAUUUUCUCAUUUAUUUGAGGUACGCCAUGUACUUCCAACACAUUCCAUUGUUCCUUGUUAGCCA